GUGGCCCCAACAGUGAAGGCUAACAUGCACUGAUGGCAGACCACCACUGACUACGCCCAAUAGAGAACUGCAAGUUUUAAGUGUCUGGAGCUUACUUAUAACCAGCAACUUGCGCUCAGAACCCAUGCCACCUCAGCUAACACCACCUAACUUUUUACUUCUCUGAGGGCACCAGGACAGCCAGAUGCUCUCGACAACUGUCUGGAAUAGCCUUUCUUCUGUAUACACCAGUGUGCUGCCAAGGCAUUGUUCUGGGCUAAUUCAAGUCAGGCGAGAAGGAAAUCUUAGCUGCAUAGAAGGUAUGACUCAUCAGCCAGAGGACACUGAGCAAGAAAGAUCUCCAGUGUGUUGGUUCCUGGCCGGUGCUCAGGCGAAAAGUCACUCAAGGUAUGGUUCUUUCAUGACCCCAAGGUCACCAAAGGAAGCAAAGGCAUCACCACAUGACAUGGAGGCUGUCGUGUCUUCCUCUCCACAUUUGUUUGACUUGAGGAUGGAGUUUAUGUCUCAGAAGCAGUAUGGCCAGAGUGGGGAUGUGCAGACAAGAUCCAUUUUGCUGUCUGAGCCAUUUCUCAAAUGUUUUUUACUUUUUAAUUUUCUAAGUAUAUAAUUCAGUAUUUUGUAAGUACUGUACAUUCGAAAGUUGUACAAUCACCAUUACUAAUUCCACAACAUUUUCAUCAGCCCCAAAUAAAUCCUGUACCUAUCAGCAGUCACUCCCCAUCCUUCUUCCCCCGCAGCUCCUGGCGACCGCCUUUCUACUUUCUGUCUCUACAGAUAUUCCCAUUCUGGACAUUUCCUAUAAAUGGAAUCCUAUAA